GCCGGGUUAGCUCAGCUGGUAGAGCAACCGCCUUGUAAGCGGUAGGUCGUCGGUUCGAGUCCGACACCCGGCA
rfam:Sphingomonas indica strain Dd16 genome assembly, chromosome: I